AAUAAGAUGCCUGAAAAAGGGUUAUUUUGAUAGAAUAAAUUAUACAUUUUUAUGUUCUUAUUA
rnacentral:tRNA from 1 species